rnacentral:rRNA from 1 species
GUGCCAGCCGCCGCGGUAAAACGUAGGAGACGAACGUUAUCCGGAGUUACUGGGCGUAAAGGGCGUGCAGGCGGCUUGAUAAGUUCGGCGUGAAAUUUCCCGGCUUAACCGGGGGAUGUCGUCGGAGACUGUCGAGCUAGAGGGUGAUAGAGGCGUGUGGAAUUCCGGGUGUAGUGGUGAAAUGCGUAGAGAUCCGGAGGAACACCAGUGGCGAAGGCGACACGCUGGGUCAUACCUGACGCUAAAACGCGACAGCAUGGGGAGCGAACGGGAUUAGAAACCCGGGUAGUCC